rnacentral:sRNA from 1 species
AUAAUAAUUGUGCGUGGCUAAAAAGCAAAAUCAAUAACCACCAAAAAACGUUGCGUGUUUCUCCAAAAAAAUAUUAUUCAUGAUCGAAUAUCUGCGCUUGGGAGGAAGUGUUAACUGGCUGAUAAUUGAGUUGAAUAUUCGUGUUUAAUAUUUAUUAUAUUUGCUUAUUGAAUUUUCCACUUGACUCUGGCUCUGGCUCUCGAUACUUGGUUCUUGUUCUGUUUUUAACUCGCUCGACUCUCUCUCGCUCGGCUCGUCCCGUCUCUCUGUGUGUGUGGCCAAAAAGAAACCCGCGGAUACGGAUGCGAAUCCGAACUCUGUAAGGACCCUGCCACCAGCGCAACAGCAAGACAAUCUGAGAAUGUUGCCAUCAUCACCAGCAGCAUCGGCAACAG